UACGUAGGUGGCAAGCGUUGUCCGGAUUUACUGGGCGUAAAGAGUAUGUAGGCGGACAUUUAAGUAGAAAGUGAAAGGUCGGAGCUUAACUCCAACAUUGCUUUCUAUACUGGGUGUCUUGAGUGCCGGAGAGGAAAGCGGAACGACACGUGUAGCGGUGAAAUGCGUUGAUAUGUGUCGGAACACCAAUGGCGAAGGCAGCUUUCUGGACGGAGCCGCAAGGCUUAAAACUGACGCUGAGAUACGAAAGCGUGGGUAGCGAACAGG
rnacentral:rRNA from 1 species